AUUGUGUACCCUCUCCCCGCUUUGUAUCCCUGCCCUGAGGGCCUCACAGCCAGAUCUCCUGAGAGCAGAGUGAAGAGGAAGCUCAGUAUUUCUCAGGCAGGCCAGCAGGUCGGAAGUGAUUGGGGUCUUUGCCACUCCUGCCCCAUUCAUUGGCAGCCUGAUCGGCUCAGACAAAUACUUCCAUGCUCGGGGGAACUAUGAUGCUGCCAAAAGGGGACCUGGGGGUGCCUGGGCUGCAGAAGUGAUCAGCGAUGCCAGAGAGAACGUCCAGAGACUCACAGG
rnacentral:lncRNA from 1 species